UCAGGAGAGGAGAGAGUAUCAGGGAACGGUGUGUGUGCCAUGUUUCAGGGUUUUAAUAGAUGAGUAUGAAUCACAGGAUCUGUGAGGCACCGGUCAUUACAAAGCACUUACAGUGUAUCAGAGUAGAUCAAGUCGUUUGCAUGCCUCGUUAUACGGUUACCGCACAGUCAUUAUUUUAGUCAUUUAGAAUUAAGAUCAUUUUAAAAUCCUAAUCCUGGUCAUCCAUACAUAUCAGAGUUCACUGUUACUGUAUUCUGAGGUGGCAGCAGUACAUAUCAGAGUUCACUGUUACUGUAAUCUGAGGUGGCAGCAGUACAUAUCAGAGUUCACUGUUACUGUAAUCUGAGGUGGCAGCAGUACAUGCAGAGUUCACUGUUACUGUAUUCUGAGGUGGCAGCAGUACAUAUCAGAGUUCACUGUUACUGUAUUCUGAGGUGGCAGCAGUACAUAUCAGAGUUCACUGUAAUCUGAGGUGGCAGCAGUACAUAUCAGAGUUCACUGUUACUGUAAUCUGAGGUGGCAGCAGUACAUAUCAGAGUUCACUGUUACUGUAAUCUGAGGUGGCAGCAGUACAUAUCAGAGUUCACUGUUACUGUAUUCUGAGGUGGCAGCAGUACAUAUCAGAGUUCACUGUUACUGUAUUCUGAGGUGGCAGCAGUACAUAUCAGAGUUCACUGUUACUGUAUUCUGAGGUGGCAGCAGUACAUAUCAGAGUUCACUGUUACUGUAAUCUGAGGUGGCAGCAGUACAUAUCAGAGUUCACUGUUACUGUAUUCUGAGGUGGCAGCAGUACAUAUCAGAGUUCACUGUUACUGUAAUCUGAGGUGGCAGCAGUACAUAUCAGAGUUCACUGUUACUGUAAUCUGAGGUGGCAGCAGUACAUAUCAGAGUUCACUGUUACUGUAAUCUGAGGUGGCAGCAGUACAUAUCAGAGUUCACUGUUACUGUAAUCUGAGGUGGCAGCAGUACAUAUCAGAGUUCACUGUUACUGUAAUCUGAGGUGGCAGCAGUACAUAUCAGAGUUCACUGUUACUGUAAUCUGAGGUGGCAGCCGUACAUAUCAGAGUUCACUGUUACUGUAAUCUGAGGUGGCAGCAGUACAUAUCAGAGUUCACUGUUACUGUAAUCUGAGGUGGCAGCAGUACAUAUCAGAGUUCACUGUUACUGUAAUCUGAGGUGGCAGCAGUACAUAUCAGAGUUCACUGUUACUGUAAUCUGAGGUGGCAGCAGUACAUAUCAGAGUUA